AAUUCUUUACUCAUUUCUUUCUUUUAUCUUUCUCAUCGUUUGUUUAAACUUGUUCUUUCAAUCAAGAAAACAACCCAAAAACCUCCCUCCAAGCCCACCAUCACUACCCAUAAUUGGCCACCUUCACCUCCUAAAACCCCCAUCCAUCGUUUGUACCAUAGCCUUUCACAAAAAUAUGGUCCAAUCUUCUCCCUUCGCCUCGGUUCUCGGCUUCUUGUUGUAGUAUCAUCUUCAACCGCAGCCGAGGAAUGCUUCAGCAAGAACGAUAUAGUUUUUGCCAAUCGCCCCAAGUUUAUCAUAGGGAAACACUUAGGCUACAACUAUACCACAGUUUCAACAUCGUCUUAUGGUGAUCAUUGGCGCAACUUACGUAGAAUUGGUGCCAUUGAAAUCUUCUCAUCAAGUCGUCUAAACGCCUCCGUGACUGUUCGAAAAGACGAAAUCAGGCGCUUGUUAUUAAAACUGUCGUGUGAUUCGCGUCAAGAGUUUGCGAAAGUGGAGCUGAAAUCUAUCCUUAAUGACAUGACCUUUAAUAACAUAAUGAGGAUGGUGGCAGGGAAGCGGUACUAUGGAGAUGAAGUGACGAAUGAAGAAGAAGCAAGAGAAUUUAAGGAACUUAUGGCAGAGGCAUUCAAGAAUGGUGGAACAGCAAAUCAAGAAGAUUACUUUUCUGUAUUGAACUGGUUUGGUGAAGGGUAUGAAAAGAAGGUGAAGAAGCUUGGAAAAAGGAUGGACAGGUUCUUGCAAACUUUGAUUGACAAUCACCGAAGUAAGAGGCAGGAAAAUAAUAGUAUGAUUGAUCACCUUCUUUCCUUGCAAGAAUCUGAGCCUCGUUACUAUACUGACGAAAUUAUCAAAGGGUUCAUAUUGGUAAUUAGUUGAAUCUUUUCUUUUUUCUUUUUACUUUUCAAUAUUUUAUUGUUGAAAGAUUUUCGGUUUUAAAUUUUGAGCUUAACUUAAUUGAUUCAUGCACUUAUUUUUAGAAGAUGACAUUCAAAUCUGAAAUGUCCUAAACUAACAAAUUAACAUUGUUCUGUAGGUGAUAAUACUUGCAGGAACAGAUACAUCAGCAGUCACAAUAGAAUGGGCAAUGUCCAAUUUGCUAAAUCACCCAGAAGUAUUGAAGAAGGCUAGAGCUGAACUAGACAAUCAAAUUGGUCAAGACAACCUGAUUGAUGAACAAGAUGUUUCCAAGCUACAUUACCUUCAAAGUAUUAUAUUGGAGACACUUCGAUUAUACCCUGCAGCUCCUCUUCUGCUUCCGCACAUGCCAUCGAAUGAUUGUACCUUAGGUGGAUACAACGUGCCACGUGGUGCCAUCGUACUGGUGAACGCUUGGGCCAUUCAUAGGGAUUCAAACCUAUGGGAUGAUCCAACAAGUUUUAAGCCAGAGAGAUUUGAAAAUGGUGGGAAAUUAGGAGAAUAUUCUCACAAGCUAAUGCCAUUUGGGUUAGGAAGGAGAGCAUGUCCAGGAGCAAGCCUGGCUCAGCGAAUAGUGGGAUUAACUUUAGGAUCUUUGAUUCAGUGCUUUGAGUGGGAAAGGAUUGAUGACAAGGAAAUUGACAUGACUGAAGGAAAGGGAAUCACCAUGCCUAAAGUUCAGCCAUUAGUUGCUUUGUGCCAAGCUCGUCCCAUCGUGAAUAAGGUUUUUUAUAAAUAAAUUUGAUUAAUAUCAUAAGUUGGGUGAUUAUAGUGGAAAAAUAGGUUUUGAUUGCCUAUCUGGUCAAGAUUUUAUUGGAGUAGGACACAGUUAGUGUGUUCUAUUUUUUUUUCUUUUGUUUUAAUGAUUGGAUUAGUCCAUAUCAAAAAAAGGAGGUCAAAUUAUGUAAUAAAUAUCUGUAUUUUAAUUAAAUAAUAAAAUUAAUCCUUUUAUCUUAAUGUGUUUAAAUUGGAUCUUUAUACUUUCUUUAAUUAUCGAAAUUUUGUUAACGGUUCAAACUUUUUCAAUUAAAAUUGAUGACAUGGUAUUUUGACUUUUCUAACGUGACAUUUUUGUUUAUAUGAUCGUUGACUUUAUUGACUUUUGAGGUCAAAAUGAUCAAAGAUAAUAACAUGACAAAAUUUUUUAAUACAUCAUUAUUUUUUCACUUCAGCUUUUCUCAAAUUGUACAGAUAAUCCUUAUACUUUUAUUAAAUGAUAGAAUUAAUCCUUCUAUCUUAAUGUGUGUUCAAUCUUAUCUUUUUAUAUCAAUUAAUUAUUAAAUUUAAGAUUUGACACUCAUUGCAUUCAAAUUUUAUUCUUAAAUUAUUUAUAAUCAAUGCUUUACAAGAUGGAACAUUGAUAAUAGAAAAUCUAAGUUCAACUUGAUUCUAAUGAAUUUUGAAACUUCAAAGACAUAAUUAAAAGAGCUUAAUACUCAAAACAUAUCUUUUAAUGAAGACAAGAAUAUCUUACUUAGAAUAAGACUAGCCAAAAGCUCCCUCCAUAAGUUAAAAGACUUAACAAAGUCUAGGUGAAAGACAACACAUAAAGGACCCCAUGAAUAUAAAUCAUGCUUGACUAAAACAAACCAUCCGAUGCAUUGAGAGCCUUCAAUCUAAUCUAGACUCCCAAAUGAACUCAAAGUUCUUUACUUCCUAAGAUGUCAACAUCUUUGAAAGUGACUUGUUUUUUGGAACAACUUAACUUAUAAAUCUCAAUUUUUAUAUGACACCAUUUGAGAAUAAGGAUGGUUAAAAGAAUCAAUUUUAAGCUUUUUGUAUGGUUGACUAUUAUUAUUAUAUACAUCAACAUUAGAGUUUUUAAAUUCUAUAAAAUGAAUCCUCUUGUUUAUUUAUUAAUUUUUAAGAAAAAUUAUCAAAUAUAUUAAGAAAAUGAAAAUUUUUAAUAUUACAAAUUAAAUAUAUAUUUAGAAUAUAUUUUAAAAAAUUAAAAAAUUAAUUUUAAAAAAAGUGAGACAUGCACGAUCUUAUUAACUUCAUUUAUAAAAUUAAAAAAUUUCCUUAACAAUAGAUUAAACAAUUUUUUUAAAAAAUACAAUUUAACUAGAUAUCAAUCCAUGUUUCACUUUGAAUAUCUAUUUUUGUGUAUGUAAUUAAGAAAAUCAGCAUAAAUUGGUGUUUUGAAUAGUUAUCAUAACGAUUUUGGAGUAGCUUGAUGAAUUUGAAAAUGAAAUAAAAAAAAAAAAGAGUCACCACCAAUAUUUUUUGGCUAGGUGAAAUUGACUACCUAUUAAAACAUAUUCUUUUAAUAAAAUUUUAAAAUUAAUUAAAAUUUAUUAAAAAAAUAAUUUUAAUGUAUGCAAAACAGGUUGGGUCAAGGAGUUAGUUACUUGUAGGAAAAAAUUAGCACCCCUACAGCUCCCGUUUAAAACGGUACCAAUUAAUUAAAUAUUAUCCUUUAAUUCUGACAAAAACAAUUUUAUAUUUAUUUAUUUAUUAUUAUUAUUAUCAUUGUUCUGUUUUAUUUGAGAAAAAUAAAUUAAAACUUUUUUAUUGAAAUAAUUUUUAAAAUGUUUCAGUACAUUGAAAAUAUUAGAAGAACUUUCUCACCUAAAGAUUUCUUAAGUAUCGUUCUCAAAAUACCUUAAAAUCUCAUCUUUAGAGGUCCAGAUUUAUUUUUCAAAAACACUAUUAUACAUGCAAUACAAAUGAUAAUACAUUGAUUUACACAUUUUAUUUUCCUUUUAGAAAAUUUAUUUUUUAUAUUAUAAUUGUUAUUGUUUGAAGAAAUUUUUAUCACAUUAAAAAAUUUUUAUAAAUACUUCAAUAUACUAGCAAUAUUUCAAAAAAAUUUCCUCACCUAUAGAGUUUUAAAGCAUCACUACUUGGAAUAUCUUAAAAUCCUAUCAUCAGGUAAAGAUUUCUUUUCCCUUAUUUUUUAUUAUUUUAUUUUUAACAAAUUAGUUAAUUUUUAUUUACUAUUUUAUAGCAAAAAAAAAAGAGAAAAUUUUUUAUUGUUUGGAAACUUUUUAUAAAUACUUCAAUGUUGGUAUAUUAAAGAAAAUUCCUCUAGGGAUCUAGUACUGGACUUUGAUUAUGUUGUAUUUCAAUUUUUUCAUUUUCUAUUUUUAUUAUUUUUAUUAUUUUUUCAGUAAUUUUUUGGUUAUUUUUUCCUAUUUUUGGUUAUUUUUCCUAUUUUUUUAAUCUUAAAAAUUAUCAAAGUUUAGAAACCUUUUUUAUUAUAUUGGUAUCAUACUAUCAAUUAUUAAUUAUUAUUUUUUAUUAAGAUUAUUCUACAGUUUAAUAAAAAUUAUAAAAAUUUUAAACUAUAUUUUCCAUUUUUUAUUUAAUUUAUCUAUUUUAUUUUGUUUUCAUUUUUCCUAGUUAAAAAAAAUUAGUUAACAAAUUUAAACAUUUUCACAUGCAUAAAUAUUAAUGCUAAAAUUUAUAUAAACAAAAAUAAUAUAAAAAAUAAAUCAAAAAAUGAAAAAAAUUAAACCGGACCGAUCAACGGUUUGGUCUGUAUCAGUUUAGCUAGACUGAUUGGUAGUCAAAAAGGGAAAACUGGGUCACGAGUCAAGCACGCAGAUCUCUGAUCAACCCAUUGGUAUGCACAUAGAUCUUGGAUGAAACGAUGUUGUUUUAAGGCUUAGUCUUCUAUAUAAAAACCAAAAUUUUUUUGUUUUGCCAUCGAUCACCAUUUUCGGUGGUCGAAAAACAAAGGAAAUAUCAAAAGACUCCCCUUUACCCUUUAAGCUCAGAUUUGGUCUCCUUUUUGCCAAGAACAACCUUGAUCAACAUUGAAUAGGCUUUAAAGCUUUAGUUUCCCUCUUUUUUAUAUUUUCAUUAAUUUUAAUUUAUUAUUAUUUUUUAUUUUUUAAUGAUACUAACUUUUCUCUUUUCCUUUAGGCACAUCGCACAGAGCUAAGUUCCCCAAUAGGGGAUUUUUAGAGGCAUGUUGUAUAGGUCCAAAGGGAUUUGGGCAUGGAAGGCAGUGGGUUGCACAAGGGCGUAGGAAUAAGUGGCUAGUGGUGCCGUGCACGGCACCUACUAGCAUUAGCCUCCAGUCUUUUGUUCUUUUGCCUUUUUUUAAUAUUUUUGUAUUAAUGUUUAAUUAAUUAUUAUUUAUUAUAUUUUGAUAUAAAUAAUAAAAUUAAAAUUAAAAAUUAAACAGUGGGCCAAGGCUUAGAAAAAAUUGGGUUUUAGCCUAUUAACUCGUUAGAAUUAAGAAAUUUAAAUUGAAACCUAGAUAAAUUUGAUGUUUACAAUUGCAUCUCUUUAUGCAUUGCUGAGAAUCAGAAAUAGGGUAAAAACAAAGACAACAAUUUUGUCUGGAGUCCAAAGUGAUUUUUUUUUCUAAUUGAUCUAAACUAAUUAAAAAGUUUAUCUCAUUAAAGACCAAAACGCUUUAAAGAUCAAAUCGAAAUACUCCUCUUACUCGAGGCUCGACAACUUUUGAAAACUUAAAAUGGCACCUCUAAGUAAAGACUCAAUAACUUUAAAAUUGACAUCUGAAAAAAAGUUCCUCUGAAUAGAGGCUUAACAACUUAAAAAAGUUCAUCAUCUUUUCUCAAAAUCGAGUUCUUAUCUUUGAGCAAGUAAAUUUUUUUCUUUUAAAAUCUCUUCUUUAAUUAUUAUCUUUGCCUAAUGAUCAAAAUCUUGUUUUCCAUUAUGAAAUUGAAAGUCCUUGUCCUUGUUAUAACUACUCAUUGAUGCAUGUGUUGAAUGCUCUAAAUGCAAUGCAUGUAAUGCAAUCAAAAUCAUUCAUUUGUGGUAAAAGGCUCUCGAAAUCUCUUACCUUUUUAUUUAUUUUAUCAAAAUUCUAAAACAAUUGCCAUAGGACCAAUUUGUUCUUAAUGUCUGACCAUUAUAUUCUUUCUUAACAAUAUUUUUCUUUUUCAAAACUCUACAACAUCAAUGUCUUGUCAUGCUUUUCUUGUCAUUUUUCAUCUGUUUUUAUUGACUUCUAAAAGUAAUGCCCGAGACAUUCCAUGUUAUUUUUUUUUAUCAUUUCAAGUUCAAGAUAAAUAAAAUACAAUCACACAUUCCUCUAAUUCAUUUGUAAGGUGAACAAAUAUGACGAAUUGAGAUAAAAGGAUGGAUAGGCAUUAUUCCCAAAGAAAAGAAAACAUAUUUCAUUAAACUGAUAAUAAGUGCAUGGCAACAAAAGUGUUUAGGUAGAAACAAAUGUACCUAAGUAAUGAUUACAAGAUAAUCAUGAAUAAAAUAUUCCUAGUUUCUUUCUCCAAAACUUAACCAAAUGACUUCCUUAAUUCUUUAGAAUUCGUUAAACUAUAUUUGCUUUUGUGUUGUGAGGUCAUUUCUUAAUGAUACUUCUCUUUUACAUCCAAGUCACAUUUUCAAGUUUUUAACUUAAAUGCCAUUCUUUUUCUUGCUUUUUUCUUCUUUUUUUCUUUUUCAAACGAAGUAUCUUUUCAUAGUAUCUGAGUUUAUCAGAGUAGGCAAACCAUUUUUGUCCAUUUCUACCAAAAUUAAUGCCCUAUCGAAAAAGACUUUUUUCACCACAUACAGAUCUUCUUAAUUUGGUGUCUAUUUUUUUUUACUAUCAUGUUGAUUUAGAAGGAUCCUUUUCAACACUAAGUCUCCUUCUUAAAAGCUACGAAGGUGAAUUUUCUUAUUAUGUGCUCUCAUUAUCCUCAUUUGAUACAAUUGACCAUGGUAAAGUAUUGUAAGCCUUUUUUCAUCAAUGAAGUUCAACUGCUCAUAGCGAUUUUGGACCCAUUUUACUUUUUUUAACUUGACUUCCAUCAGAACUCUCAAUGAUAGAAUUUUUACUUCAACUGACAACACAACUUCUAUCUCAUAAACCAAAGAGAAUGAUGUGGUCCCAGUAAAUGCUCAAACUAAUGUUCUACAAGUAUGCAAGGCAAAAGGUAACUUCUCAUACUAGUCUUUAUAAGUAUCAGUCAUUUUUUCCAAGAUCUUUUUUAUAUUCUUGUUUAUAGCUUCUACUGUCCUAUUCAUUUUUAGACGAUACGGUGUCAAAUUAUAAUAAUGGAUCUUGAACUAAGUGCAUACUUCAUUUAUUAUUUUACUGUUCAAGUUUUUAGCAUUAUUAAAAAUAAUCAUCUCUAAAAGCCUAUAUUUGCAUAUUAUUUUUUUUUUAUGAAAUUAGAUACCACCGAUUGUGUCACACUAGCAUACGAUACAACUUUUACCUAUUUCGUAAAAUAAUCAAUCAUCACAAAGAUGAAUCUAUGUUUAUUUGAAGCUUUUAGAGUGAUAGGAUCGAUGACAUCCAUGCCUCACAUAGAUAUUGGCCAUGGAAGAGCCAAAACAUGCAAUGUUAUUGAAGAAGUAUGAAUUUUAUCAGCAACAAUCUGACACUUCUGACAUUUUUUUGCAUAAUCAAUAUAGUCACUCUCUAUUGUCAACCAAUAAUAGCUAGUCCUCAUAAUUUGUCUAGCCAUCAUAUGACCACCAUUAUAUGCCUCACAAACCCCGUCAUGUACUUUUUAAUAAUCUUUUUUGCUUCAAUUGUAUUCACAUACCUUAAGAGCACUUGAUCUCAAUUUCUUUUAUAAAAGAUAUCUCUAUCAAGGAAGAACCCAUAGCCAGCCUUUUGAUAGUCUUUUUAUCAUUUUCUGUUGCAUGUUCUAAAUAUUGUUGACUUUUAAUGUAUUGCAUAAUGUCAUGAUACCAUGGCUUCCCAUUAAUUUUUUUCGACACCUGAGCAAUGUGCUAGUGUAUCCUUCACAUCCAAUUUGAUGGGUUGAAUCUUGGUAUUUGUAUCUAUUCUGAUCAUUGUAUCCAAAGUAGCCAUUGUAUUAGUAAUCUGGUUCUCCUCUCUAGGCACAUGCUCAAAAUAAACUUCUUCAAAUUUUUGGACAAACUUAGAAACGUAUCAAUGGUACCUGAUUAAUUUGAAAUCUUUUAUUUCUUAUUCACCUCAUAACUAAUAGAUGACUAAAGUUGAAUCUCCAAACACACCCAAUACUUUGAUCUUCUUUUCAAUUACUACUUAUAGACCUCUAUCACAAGCCUCGUAUUCAACCACAAUGUAUGUGCAAUUGAAAUUCAAUCUGGCCAUGAUGGGAUAAUAGUGUCUAUUGAGAGAUAUUAAAAUUGCCCUAAUAUUAUGGCCUAAAGCAUUAGUAGCUCCAUCAAAAUAUAUUUUCCAAGACUUUUCAAUAAGUUCAUUCAUUUCAAUGGCUAUCACAUCUUCAUUAGAAAAAUCCAGUUUCAUUGGCUCAUAAUCUUCGAUCGCAUGAUCGGCUAAGAACUUAGCUGUUGCAUUCACUUUAAUAGCCUUUUGAGUUACAUAAACAAUAUCAUAUUCUGAAAGCAUAACUUGUCACCACACUAUUCUUCUUGUUAAUAAACCCUUUUCGAAGAUAUACUUAAUGUGAUUCAAAUAUGCUAUGAGCUAAGUAAUGUGAUAAAGCUUGUAUUGUCUAAGCCACGUAUGUAAGCUUUUCAUCAAAAUGAAUUUGACUUUUUGAUGCAAAGAGGAUAGAACAACACUUUUCAUAUGAAUCUAUAGCUUACCCAAUACGUAACUAUAUGAGAGAGAGAUAUCUAUAACUUAAAAUUUUACAUUAAAAAUGCAAGGGUCAAUUUGUAACGACAUUUUUAUAUCUCCUAACACCUUUUUUCGAGUCUCAUUGAAGGUUCAAACUACAAUAUAACUAGGCUUCCUAUAAAAUUCAUCAAUAGAUAGUUUUAUCAAAGUAAUCAUAGGCAUAACAUUGAUUGAUGAGCCAUUAUUGAUUAAAACUUUAGUCAUUAUAUGACUCUUGUAUUUUACAGUAAUGUGAAGAGUCCUGGUACUUCUUUGACACUCAAGAAAAAUCUUUUCAUCAUAAAAAAAGAUGUAGUUUGAAAUUGCUAGAUUGCCAAUAAGCUGUUUCACGUAUUCAACAAAGAUAUUGUGAGACACAUAUGCUAGAUUUAUUACAUUUAGUAAAGUAUUACAAUAUGACUUUGAGCUUAGCAAUAAUGACAAUAGCAAAAUUUUAGCUGGCAUUUUAUUCAACUAUUCUAUCACGCUACACUUGUUAUGUUUUAUUAGUUUUAAAAAUUUACAAGCUUUAUUCUUAGAGAUCGACUACUGACAUUCUUUAUUAAGGAUUGUCACAAGAUUACUUUGACUUUUUUCUUUUUCUUUGACCUUUGCUUUUUUUUUCUAACGUUAUCUAGUGUUUUCAGAGUGUAACAUCUAUCAUUUUGGGUCAUACCUCAUACGCUUGCUAUGUUUACAAUAUCUGAAUUGACUAUAACAUCAUAAUCAUACUUUUACAAUAUUGUUUUGUCAUUCUUAUAUGAAAAAGGGCUAAGGACUUUAAUCAUCACUAUUGGUCAGGAGAUAAGCUUUUUUGACCUCAGGGUUGGCUUAUCAUCAUAAUAAAUAGUUACUAAUUUACACAUAAACUUAUUCUUUGAAUCAAUGGUAGACAACUUAGCUUUCAUCAAAUCUUUUUUUUCUUUGUAAAACUCUAUCCGAUCCAUAUCCAUCAACUUCUUCACCUCUUGACGAAAUUGGUCACAACUCUCGAUAGAAUGCCUCAAAGUAUCUUUGUGAUAGUUGUAGCUCUCGAUUGAGUUAAUCAUUCCUUAGCAAUUUUGAAACUCUAUGGACUUCAACAUAUCAGCUUUGACUAAGGCUUCAAACAUAUUAGCCGUUAAAGUUUUGACUUCAUCUAUCCCCUUCUUGACAUAACUUGCUUGUCCAUCAAUCAAAGCAUUUAUUAAUGGUAUAGUAUGGUUUGGUAAAAGGUUCUCAUUAACAUUUCUAGUCCCUCAUUGGCUAGUAUCAAAGUUUAACACCUUUUUAUUGAUUAAUCAUUGCACUUUAUGAUUUUAAAGUAGUAUAGUUUUUCAUAGAAUAGCCCAAGUUUCCAUAAUUAUAAUCAUAAUGCGCAUUGGGAUCAUACCAUUUAAAAAAUAAAGGUUUCAAAAGUUCAACAAUAACAAAGGCUAGUAAAUAUUUUUCAAUGAUUUGAGGGUGCAAAUUUGUGUAUGUCAUAGGGAUAAGGUCGAAAAUGGCUUUUUUUUAGGCAUUUUUUAGGGCUUUCAAACCACUACUUAGAUUGGAUCUCCAUUUUGGUUUGGUAGGUGUAGCAAGACAAUUAUAUGAAUAGGUAGGUAUCCGAAAGGAUUAUUGAAAAUAAAGUAAAUAAACUGGUUAUUAUAGGGAUUGAUACAACUGAUAUGGAUAAGGGAUGGAUGUAACAUUAUUUAUUGGUGGAUAAUGGGUUUCGUACACUAGUAUGAGAUAUGAGUGAAGCAUCUGAAUUGUUGCUCCACAUAGUUAACUGUUUGGGCUUUAUUUUUUUUCUUCAUAAAAGCUUCACCUUUCUUACUUUACAUGUUUUUUCUGUAUCAAGCUUACCAUUUUUAUGGCAUUUUCAAUAAUCUCACCAGAUAUCACCAUAUUUGUAAAGUUUUCAAUUGCAUUGCCCAUCAGUCUUUUAUAGUAAGGUAUUUUUAAAGUGUUCAGAAAUAGAAUAGUUAUCUCAUUUUUAGUGAGGGGAGGUUGUACUUGUAUGAUCACAUCUUUUCAUCUCUAUGCAUACUCUUUAAAAUUUUUUGUUGUUUUCUUUUCUAUGCUCUACAGAAACAGAUAAUUUGGAGCUAGAUCUAUAACAUGCUGAUAUUAUGCAAAGAAUGCCCUCAUGAGCUCCUUUCAAGAAUGAAUAGGAGUUCUGUCUAGUUGAACAUACUAUUUAACUGCAGAACCCAUAAGGUUAUCCUAAAAUACGUGUAUCAGUAGCUUCUCAUCAUAAGUAUACGUCACUAUCUUACGAUAAUAUAGGGUGACAGAGUUAUUGGGCAUUUUGUGUCAUCAUAUUUUUUAAAUUCAAAGACCUUGAAUUUAGGUGGAAUGAUCACAUCUGGAACUAAACAAAGCUUAGUUGCGUCCAUAGAGCCAUAAAAAUCUAUUAUCUCUAUGGUCCUAAGUUUUUCUUCUAAUAAUUUCAUCUUCUGUUGAGCAUUGGUAUCUUUCACUUUUUAAAAUGUUUUCAUCCCUAGCUUUUUUCUCUCAUUAGGAUCAUCCAAGUCAGGAAUCAAGAUUAGCUUUGAUGGUUUUUCUACUAUGAUAGGAUUACCAAAAUUUUAGAACUAUCUUGGAGUAGGUGUGGAUGUCAUUCCUAGAUAAGGAUAAAAAUAUCCUCUGGGAGUAAAAAUUUGCAUUUUGGCUCCUUGAGAAGGUUGGAUUGGUUGUGGCUUAAAUCGUAAAAGGUAUAUAGGAUCCACUAUGUUUGGCACUUGCUUUUGGAAACUGAGGUUUCUUUCUACUAUUUUUUCUUUGUCAAAAUUCUUAAGCAUGUCUAUUAUCUUAUUAAAAUCCCCUUUUAAUUUCUUUUAAGCCUUCUUAAUCCUUUAAAAUCGACUAGUGUAUUCUUGUUUCAUGAUUUUUGUUUGAGCUCUGGAGUUGUAUGAAUGGUUAGUAAGUUGAAUUAAAAUUUUUGGUGGAUGAGCUAUUCUUGAACCUUUAUUACCACAAAAAAAAAAAAUUUAAAUCAAAAUGCUAUGUGUUAGAAAUUUUAUUUUUUAACCUUCUUUUUGUGAUUUUUUAAAAAAAUAUAUGGUUAAAAAUAAUGCACAUGAUGCAUAAAUACAAGUGAGAGAUAUUUACUCUUUGACAAAUUUCAACACUAGAAAAUUUCAUUGAUUUCAACUUUUGUUAUAUAAGAUUUGUCAUCCUAGAAUUAUAUUCAUAGAAACAUUUGACUUGCUCAUAACGAUCUUUGGUCUCAUCUAAAAAGUUUACUUGAUGCUGGCUAUAUUCUUUUAUAAGAUUGACUUAUCUUCUUAAUGCCUUUACCUUUUUAACCAUCUUUCAUACCUUCUUUACUGCUUUGCAAACUUGACUGGUUAGGUGCUUUAUGUACUAUUGCCUUCUUAAGUUUUUUGCUUUUUAUUUCAUACAAGCAUCACUUUUCGAAUUACAUGUAAAGAUCCAAUCCUUUUUCCUUCUCUACCACUCAUCUAUUAUUAUUGAAAUAUGGUUCUUGUAAUUUUACAGUUACAGCUCUAACCUGUGGAUCACCUAGUGAAAUGAUUCUUUUUCGUUUAGUACUUUAAGGUGCUCUAUUCUCUUUUUUGUGAGCAUAGCCUUCAACUUUUCCUUUUCUUUCUAGCAUUCAACCAAUUUUGCCAAAGCUGUAAGGUAUAAUCCCUCAUAAUUUUGGCAUUAUUGAGAAAUUUUGAUGACCUCUUUUUCUAUUUUUUGAGCUUUGCUUUUUCAUUAGUUCAUUUCCUCUCAGAGCUCGUUCAUUUCAUGUUGCCAACUAAGGUUAGACUUAGUAACUUUUUUAGUCAUGAAUUGGACUCAUAACCUUUUGUUUUCUUGGUGUAGAUCUUUCAAAUCAAUGUUGGCCACUUGUCGUUCUUUUAUGACCUUCUUCAAUCUGCUUUUUUGUACUUUUACUUCUUAUUUUAACUAUCCUAUCUUUUCACUAAGUUUCAAAUUUUCUCUUUUUAUUUCUUUUUUUUUAGCUUCCAAUUUCUUCUUAACAAGCUCAACUUUUAAUAAUUGCACUUUUGUCAAAAUGUUAGCUAAUUGAUAUGAGUCAUCAUUAGGAAUGAACACCAUGUAUUUGAGUCACUUCACUUUUCAAAUCUGGUAAUUAUGAGUGAUUUUGUCAAGAAAAGGCCUUAAUCUCAUCUUUUGUGUUUUUUUCUAUGCUUGGAUUAACUGCUCCAAGAUUUUUAAUGGAUUAGAUUCUUCGUAAGUGAAUUCUACUUGAACUAGGCCAUGAGUGGCAUGAACAAACUACUUUGCAUCGAAUUGUCACAGUACCAUUAAUAGAGCGUAACUUACCAUACUCUUUAGUAUUAACAGCGGUAUCUAUGGUUCAUCAUGAGCACGCAAGGCAUCCAUGGCGCCAUCCAUUUUAUUUCAUCCUUGGUGAGUCUUCGCAAAAAUAAAACCCAUUUUUCUUUAGUCUUCAAUGUUGGCCAUUAGCUUUUGCAAAACUCUUCGAUUAGUGCUUAUUUAAAAAAUACAGCUCUGAGAAUGCACUCUUUCCACACUUGAAAUGAGUUGUGACCUACAUAUAAAAUAGCAGUGCACACCCUAUAAAUGUCUUUUUUCAUUUCAUUGAUAGAAAUUCAAUAACCUGAUUGGUUCGACUAAGACUGCUAGUGCAAGAUUAAUUGCUUAAGUUUUAAUUUACUCAAAAAAGUCCACCACAAUUAUUUCGAUGUAACACGAAAUCUUCAAGAAGAUCACCAUGACGUACACUGCCAAAGCAAACAUAACCAUGCCUUGAUCAUCAUUUAAAUGCCCUUGAAUAAAAUUUUGGAUAAAGUCCCAAUAGAUAUUGAGAUGUUCACCUUUAGGCUUUACGAAUGAAUCUAUGGUUUCUAUUUUAACCUCUAUAAGCUUUGCCAACCUUUUAUGAUAACUUGAUUUCAACUUUCGAGUAAACACUUUAUUUGGACAUUGUAGUUCUAUCAUGAGCAAAACUAAGUACUCCUUAAUAGUUGGCAUCAAAUAUUCCUAAUUAAAAGUGAAACAUCUAUAGGAUGGGUCCCAAAACUGUAUGGUUGCCUUGACUAACUGCUCCUCAAUCACUAUUGGAAUGAGAGAUACAAUCUGCCUAUACUUUUUGUAAAAGUUUUCUUUUCUUUUUUCACUUAAAUGACCCCAGAUGAUAGCUAAAUUUUUUAAAUUAUUUUGUGUAAGAUCCGAUUGGCUUAUCUUUAUGUUCUAUUAUUUUUAACAAAUCAGAAGGUAGUGUGUAAUUAUCAAAAUCUUUUUCAUUAUCAAGUUCGUCAACAUGAAUUAGGUUUUCAAAAUUGAAUAUGAGAUUAUUGUCAUAAUUAUCUUCGUGUUCAUUAUUUAGGAACCUAUAAAUGGGUGAGAUGAAAAGAAUAUUGGCACCCAAAAAUGGAAUGAUAAGAAAAUGAAAAAAGAAGUGGAUCGAAUGAAUGAAAGUGAAAACAAAUAAAAGAAAUGCAAACGUAUUUUUUAAAACUUUUAUUAAAACGAAACAUAAACACUCCAUAAAAGAUCUUUUAAUGCUUAUAAAGAGCAAUUAGAGAUUUAUAGUUUCAUAGUACAUUACUUUUUAGAAAUUUUAAAAACAACAAGUAACUCUAUGACAUUCCAAUUAUUUAGCUCGAAGUUCGAAUGGCAAGGAUGCAUAAACAAUUUUUCAUCUUAGCUCUUUUUUCCUUCUUCAUCCACCACCUGAAUGGUCAGCUCAGAAAAAUCUUCCACCAAUUUUGCAUUUAGGGCUUCAAACGAAUCUGGAUAAAUAUAUCCUCCCAAACAAAAACAAUCAUAAAGGGAUGGAAUAACCAUUAAUAUCUCUUGAGAUUAGCCAUUCUCUUUUCUUUCUUCUCAUUCACCAUUUUCAUUAUGUCUCCUCUUGUUGGUUUAUAACAUAAGCCAAAUCUGUCAUUCUUAUCAUAUAUUACCGACAACUUUAUGAUUCCUUGUAGAUUUUUCUCUAGUUUAGCUUCAAGUUGCCAUUCCAUCUUGGUAAGCUACUUGAUAACCAUUUUAAUUAUCAUAGACAGAUGCUGUGAAUAUAGUUUAGAUUCUUCUGCCACAUUUGUUAUGUUGGCAAUCUCAAAAGAUCUAUAAAAGCACUUUAGGGCUUUAUCUACCAUUUUUACAUAAGAAGUAUUUUAUCGAUUGGGUUAGAAGUAAAUUUUCUUCUUUUGUCACACAUGUAGGCUUUUCAUCAACAAUGAAUUUGACUUUCAAGUGUAAUGAGGAUGGAACAACACUUGCCAUAUAAAUGUAUGGCUUACCCAAUAAGCAACUAUAUAAGGGAGAGAUAUCUAUAACUUGAAAUUUUACAUUAAAAGUAUAAAGGUCAAACUGUAAUAGCAUUUUUAUAUUUCCUAACACCUCGUUUUGGGUCCCAUCAGAGGCCUGAACUAUCAUAUGAUUAGACUUCAUGUAAGAUCCAUCAAUAGGUAGUUUUACUAAAGUAGUCAUAGGCAUAACAUUGAUUGAUGGGCCAUUGUCGAUCAAAACCUUAGCCAUUAUAUGACUUUUAUAAUUUAUAGUAAUGUAAAAAGCCUUGGUAACCCUCAAGAGGAAUCUCUUCAUCAUUAAAAGAAAUGUAAUUUGAGAUUGCUAGAUUGCCAACAAGCUAUUCCACAUAUUCAAUAAAGAUAUCGUAAGACAUAUAUGCUUGAUUUAGUACCUUUAGUAAAGUAUUAUAAUGUGACUCUGAGCUUAGCAAUAAUGACAAUAACGAAAUUCUAGCUGGCAUCUUGUUUAACUAUUCUAUCAUGUUAUAGUCGUUAUGUUUUAUUAGUUUUCAAAAAUUCACAAGCUUCAUUCUCAAAUAUUGGCUUCUGACAUUCUUUAUUAGGGAUUACCAUAGGAUUACUAUGACUUUCUUUUCUUCUUCAACCUUUGCUUUUUUUUUUUUCUAACUUUUUCUAGUGUUUUUAAAGUGUAACAUCUCCCACUUUGACUCAUACCGCCCAUUAUGUUUAUAGUAUCUACAUUGACUAUAACAUCAUAAUCAUACUUUUAUGGUACUGUUUUAUCAUUCUUGUAUGAAAAAGGGCUAGAGACUUUAAUUGUCACUAUUGGUUAAGAGAACUAUUAAGGAACUAGUUGAUUAUCCAUGUAAUAUAUUUAUUUAAAUGUGUUUAGAUAUAUAAAUUAAUAUUAUUUAAUCAUUUAGAUGUUCAAUAUAUAUAUAUACUACAAAUAAUAUAAUUAAAAUAUCAAAAUAUAAUAAAAUUAAAUUUUUAAUUAAAAAUUUAAAAUAUAUAACAAUAAUAAUAUUUGAGGAAAAAUAAAAUAUCCAAAAAAUUUAUAUAUAAAUAGUAUAUGUGUGCCAUUUCCAUUUUGUGCAAUUAUUUUUAUACACCUGUAAGUUUAUAUAAUUUUAAAAUAAGUUUUAUUCAUUGAAAAAAAUAAUGAUUUUAAAUAUUUAAAUAAUAUAUAUGAUAGCUUACUCACAUGUAAACCUAUUUAAGAGCUGGGUUACCUAUUCGAACUUGAAAGCACACUCAAAAUUUUAAAGGGCUUAAAUAUGAAUAUUAGGUCCGUUAAAUGGGCAUGGACAAGUAAAUAAAGCCUAACAAAAAAUCAAAUCGGGCUUUGGUUUCACUAUUUUAGGUUGGGGCUCAACUCGACCAGUCUCGACAAUUAAAUAAAUCUAAUUACUUUUCUCAUAAUGGGACAAAGCAUUUAUUUUUUUUAUUAUGGACAAAACUCAUUUAUUUUAUUGUUUACAAUAAAAAAAGCUAUUUACUUUCUUUUUUAUAAUAGACAAGACCCAUAUUAUAAUUUAUAAUAAAAAAAAACCUAACCACCAACAUCUUUGCUUUCUUUUUCCCCUUUCUAAAUUUUACCCUUAUUUUUGUUCUAGGAUUAGCCGCUCAUUUCACUAAAAAUUUCUCCUUCAUUUCAUUUUAAAAUUAGCUUGUCUCCUUUAAAUCUCAAUAAUUUCAAACUCCUUUAAGAUUGUCUCCUCCAAAUUGGCUUGCCUUUUUUAGAUUGGCGUUAUCCCCUCUGUCACUAUAAGAAAAUUGCUCUAUGCUAAUGCUAAAAAAACAGUCAGUAAAACUUAAAAAUCCAUUGGUAUAGCACAAUAAACCUUAUAUUGACAGUCAAAAUAUCUAUUCUGAUAAAUUUAUAACCGUCAGUAUAUUCCUUAACAAUAUAGACUUAUAGUUUUUAAGCUGUUGGAAUAUAUAAUAGAGAUAUACUGACAGUUUUAGUCCGUCACAAUAUGUAUAGCUAUUGAUAUAGCAAAUAUUGUGUGCUCCACAUUAUAUCUUUUACCGACAGUUAUUCUCAUCAGUAUAGAUUUGUAUGUUUUAAUUUUUUAACUUAUACCAACAUGUCUCUAUCAGUAUAUUUUUUACCAAUGAUCAAUGCCCGUCAAUAUAGCCUAUGUGUUUUAAUUUUUACCAACGAUCCAUGAUGACUAUCAGUAUAGCUUAAAAUAUUUUAAUAGUAAAACGUGUCAGUAUAAAUUUUAAGAUGUCGCUAAAAACUUUUUUUUGAAUUAUAUUUUCAAUUAUUAAUAUUAAUUUAUCUACAAUCAUAAUAUGAUAUGGAUUCAUAUAAAGUAAAAAUACAUAAAAAAGUAAAAAUAUUUAAUAACAUUUGAAAUAAAACAACAACCAAAUUGUUUUAUAAUCCACAAAUUCAAAAUAAGUCAAGAACUAAUGUCAUUGUAGCAAAUCUAGAGAAAGAAAGAACAUUUAUAUCUAUGAAUGGUAUAGCCCUAGUUGAUAGUGUGUCUAAUGAGUGAUUCAGCAUUACUAGAAUUCCAAGCUCCCAUGGCAGAACCGUCUGGACCUAUAGUCCUUCCAUUUAGAGCAUUUAAGCUAAAAACAACCGUAGCCCUAUGUCGAAAAUAAAAGUAAUUGGAUCCAGGUAAAAGGAAACUUCAUCUAACUGUUUAAAUGUUAAGAAAUAGAUAAAUUACAUUCAGAAAGAAGAUAAUAAAGUUUACUUACUCAGAUUUUUUGAAUAAAAUGUUGAGUUCAUCCCAUCUAGACAUAGGUAAGCAACCUUAGGAGAAACCAAACAUCUCUGCCAUCCUUUACAAAUUUUGACCAAAUAGAGAAAAUUUUGUCAACCAAUUAUGAGAAAACAUUAAAAUGAAAAUGCAUUACCAAUAUUACCAAGGAAAUGGAGAUUAUGUUUUGUUUAAAGUGCACCCUAAACAUUCAAUCAUCCUAAGCUAUUACUUUUUCACUAAACAUUCAAUCAUCAAAGCCAAUGCCAGUAGAAGGAUAAAAAAAUAGGCAUGCUCAAUGACACAAAAUUGAAAUGCAAAAAAUGCAAAAUACCUUUGAUAAAUGAUGAAAGUCUUGAAGCUUCAACUUUGAUUCAGCUCUAAAACAAAAUGGGUGCCGAUGAGUUUAAGUUUGUUGAGUCAGUGAGAGGUAAAGAAAGUUGGUGGAAGGUAGAGAUUAAGCUAUAAGUACUGACGAGUGGAAAGAGUUGGUGGGAGAUGAAAAUUAAGUAUGUAGAGUCAGUGAGAAGGGGAGGUAAAAAAAAUUUUGAAUGGGGUUAUUCAAGAUACUUUUGGCCAAAAACGCCUUCAAUAAUCUCCAAAAUUUUUUAUGACCGCCAAAAACGCCUUCUCCCAAAAUUUUUUAAAUGGAUUAUUAAAGGUGCUUUUUACCAAAAACGUCCUCAAUAAUCUCUUAUAAAAAUUUGUUGAAGAGAUUACUGAAAGCGUUUUUUACCUAAAAUGCCUUCAAUAUUUCUCUCGUAAAAAGUUAUGAGAGCUUGAGAGUGUUUUUGACCAAAAACGUUUUCAAUAAUCCCAUCAUAACUUUUUACAAGGGGAUUAUUAAAGGUAUUUUAUGUCAAGAAUACAUUUAAUAUUCCCCUCAAUAAAUUUUUAUGAGGGAUUAUUAAAGGUAUUUUUGGUCAAAAACACCUUCAAUAAUCCCUUCAUAACUUUUUAUGAGGGAAAUAUUAAAUGCAUUUUAGGCAAAAAAUACCUUCAAUAAUCCUUUCAAUAUAUUUUUAUAAAAGAUUAUUUAAGAUGUUUUUAGAUAAAAAAAAUGCCUUCAAUAAUCCAUUCAAAAAAUUUUGAAAAGGGAUUAUUGAAGGUGUUUUCAGCUAAAAACGCCUUCAAAAACACCUUCAAUAAUCUAUACAAAAAAUUUUAAAGGGAUUAUUGAAGGUAUUUUUGGCCAAAAAUAUCUUUAACAAUCCUCUCAUAACUUUUUAUGAGGGGAUUAUUAAAGGUGUUUUAGCCGAAAAUACCUUUAAUAAUUUUCUCAAUAAAUUUUUAUAAGAGAUUAUUAAAUGUAUUUUUGGUUAAAAACGUCUUCAAUAAUCCACUCAAUAAAUUUUUAUAAAGGAUUAUUGAAUGUAUUUUUUGUCAAAAACAUCUUCAAUAAUCCCAUUCAAUUUUUGGAUAGCCAAUAGUUUUUUUUUUUUUAUUUUGAGCCUAUACUAAUAGUUACAUUAAUAACUGUCAGUAUAUAAUAUAUUUAUAUUUACGGAUAGUCAUAUACCAUCAGAAAAAGUUUAUUUAUACUGACGGUUAAACAAAGUGUUGGUAUAAGUAUGGUAUAUUCUGAUGGUAUUAAAACUUUAUCAGUAAAAUUCUUAUUUAUUGAUAGAAUUUGACCGUCAGUAAAUAAUCCAUACAAAAAAAUUUUUGUAUGGAUUAUUGAAUGCAUUUUUGGUCGAAAAUGUCUUUAAUAAUCCCAUUCAAAAUUUUGGUAACUAAUAGUUUUUUUGUUUUGAGCCUAUACUGAUGGUUACAUUAAUAACCAUCAGUAUAUAACAUAUUUAUAUUGAUGAAGUCAUAUACCAUUAAAAAAAUUUAUUUAUACCAACGAUUAAAUAAAGUAUUGGUAUAAGUAUAGUAUAUUCUGACAGUAUUAAAAAUCUGUCAGUAAAAAUCUCUUUUAUUGAUAAAAUUUAACUAUCAAUAUAACCAAGCAUCUGUAUAUGAAAAAGUUCUCUAACUCGCAAGUUAAUCACUUUAUGGUAAUUUUUUUUCACUCUUGUCUUUAUAAUUUUUAGUUUAUUUUCUUUAUUUUCCAUAUUUUUAGAUAUCAAAUUAAGUUUUUAAACUAAAACUAUUUUUUUAUUUUGAAUAAUCAGGGGUAUUGGUUCAUAAAAGCUAGUAUUUAUUAUGUACUUCUUGAUAGCUUGUGGGACUAAUUAAACUAUAUGACAAUGUCUUUGGCAAACCUUAGCUCUCUUAUUUUAUGUAAGAAUCGAUUUGGGCAAAAAAUAAGAUCCGAAGAGUCAGGCCAGGUCGAGCCUAGACUUGUUUAUAAUAUUUUCAUAUCCUACUUUAGCCUAGCCCGGAUUCGGUUUGACCCAACCCAUGAACAUGUCUACUCACAUGUAUAUUUUUUGAAAGAGUUUUAGUAAUAUCUUGAUUUUCAACAAUUAUAAGAUUUGCCAAAUUAAUUUUUAUACUUGUUUUAAACUUUAUAUUUGAUGCAAAAUUAUGUUACUGUAAAAUUAGAAACAAAAUAGCUUUAAAUUUUAAGUAAUAGUAUUAAAUUUUAAACAAUUAUUUUAAAAAUUUUAUUGAAAAAAGGUUUCAAUUAAAAUGAGUCAAUUCUCAUUCACAGGAUUUUAUAAUAAAUUUAAAAGGUAAAAAGCUUUGCUUUUUAUUUUUACAAUUUAAGUUUUGCUUCCAAAAAAAACCAAUAAUAUUAUAAAAAUUAAAUUAUAAAAACUUAAUUUUAAAUAAAUAAACACAAUUUUACUUUUAUAUAAAAUAAUUAUCUUAAAAUUAAUACUGUAUUUUAGUCAUUUGCUUUUAUUUAUAAAUUUAAAAAAAAGUGCAUAACAAAAUCAACAAUUAAAAGUAAGCCUGUGUAAUCUUUUCUAAAUAAAUAAAAAAAAAUAAAACCAACAAACAAUAUCUAAACAAUUAAAUCAAUAUUUUUUUACCUUAAAUUGUCAAAAUAUUUGAGAAACAUCACUACAUGGGUUUUGAUUUUUAGUGGCAUUUUUUUACGUUUAGUGGCGUUUAAAAACACCACUAAAAGAUUUACGCAAUUUGCAAAAAACAUCAGUCAAAGUGUUGGCUAUACAUGCCUGGUGAAAAAUAGCGGUGUUUUCUAAAAAAUACCGCUACAUUAGCAGUGUUUGUAUCUAAAAAAUAUCGCUAUAUUAGUAGUAUUUUGUAUAUAGAAAAUACCGUUAUAUUAGCAACGUUUAUACCUUUGACAUACCGUUAAUUUAGUAGUAUUUUAUAAGAAAAAUACCGUUACUUUGGUGGCAUUUGUAUCACAAAAAUGUUGCUAAUUUAGCUCGUUUACUAGCAAGACCGCUGCUACUUUUAGUAGCAUUUUAUGGUACAAAUGCCACUAAAUUAUUCAUUUAGCUACAUUUUCAAACACAAAUACCGCAAAAUUGAGAAAUGUAUUUUUUUUAAAUAAAAAAUUUAUGUUAAUAUUUAUUAUUUUCAUAAAUGAGCUUAAAUUCAUAUACUAAAAUUAAUAUAAACUUAAUUCACGUUCAAAUAUGUAUCUAAUUAAUACAAAAUUUAAUAAUUAGUAUAAUAACAUUCAAAUUUUUUAAUACAUUAACAAAAUAAAAAUUAAAAUGUAUAAAAUUGAUGACUGGAUAUAUUUUGAAGGCUGUCAAUUGAUGACGAAAUUUUUCCACCUUGGUCAAUAGCGUGCUUAAGAACCUACUGAAUAAUAGCAUAUAAUUUUUAACACUUCAUUGUAAGCUUUUUUUAUAUUAAAAAAUAUAAAUAUUUACUAAAUAUAAUACAUGAGUUGAAAGACCACCGAGAUCAGUUCCUGAAAAUUGUUGUUGCACAAAAUUAAUAAAAUGAUCGAAUCGAUCAUGCAACUGCUGAAAUUUUGUACGUUCUUGCUCCAUUCUAGCAAGUUCUUCCUCAAUUUUGGCACGCUUUUGUUCUCUUUCUGCUUUCAUUUGCUGGAAAACAUUGUUGCAUAGUUUGCAACUCUCUCAAUAUCGAAAUGUCUAGUGAAGAUUGACUUGCUGAGAAUGUAAAUUACUAAAAGCUAUGUCCAUAGUAGGUAGAUGGUGUUGGACCCAAUCCAAAGCCUCAGACCUGUCCAUGCCUUUUUUUUCUAGCAACUUCUAUGAGUAUCCGAUUUUUCAAUUCUUACAUAUUGAGAGAACCAUCAGAUAUUACUUCAAUCUCAACAGUCAUUUUUUCUUUCAUUUUUUCCUAUAAAUUAGUCAUAUACAACUAUCAAGUUUAAUGAUUAAUUGAUAAUAUGUUAAAAAGAGUAAAUAUUUACUUUCUGUUAAAAUAAAUAUUACAAAUUAUCACAAUUUCUUGUGUUUCGACAUUCAUGUAAGAUUUUUUUUUUGUGUUAAGUGAAAAAGUUUCACACGUCCAAUUUGACCACCCAUCUCAAUCUCAUAUACAAAAACAUAUGUUAUUUGAUAGGAUACAUAUCAACUGUAACUUAUUCAUGCAUAUCAUAUCUGUCAAUCAAGUUCACAAAUUUUAAAUAAUUUUAAUAUCAUGUAUUUAUAUUUUGGCCCCUUUACAAUAUAAUAAUCUUAACCAGAUGCAAACAAUAAAAGCACUUUGGCCUUUAACACAUAUCGAUCAUGGCAAUCAAAUUCAAUUAUUUAGACAAGUUUAAUAUUAUGGAUUGAUGCCAUUCAAACUAUUGAAAGCCAUCCACAAGUUUAAUUUGUAUUUUUACCUUUUAAAGGUAAAAAUAGUCCCAAAUAAACAUAAACAAUAACUUUUUCACCAUAUCAAUCGUAGAAAACAAGUUCAAUCAAUCAGGCAAGUUUAAUAUCAAAUAUUGAAGCUAUCCAAACUAUUUAAAUUGAACAAUAACAAAAAAUUUGUAAUUUUACUUAAAUAGACGUAAACAAUAACUUUUUCAUACAUAUCGUCCGUCUCAACUAAGUUUAAAACUUUUAAUAAGUUUAAUAUCAUGUAUUGAAACUAUCAAAACUAUUAAAAUAGUACAAUAACUGUUAAUUUGCAUAUUUACCUUUUACCGACAUAAAAAGUUCAUUAAUUGAAAUACGUUUAAAAUCAUAAACUUACUAUUUCUUUUUGCUUUCUUGCAAAACUUUUUGAUCCACUUGUGUGGCUAUUUUUUUGUUGCUUUCUGCUACUAAUCCCAAUUUGUUCUCUUUCCUAUCAUAAAAAAUAAUUUGGUAUAUCAUAGAAAUACAAAUAUUGCCAACUUAAAGCAUAAAACACUUUCAUUAUUUCAUUAUACUAUAUAAAGUUAUAAAUUAGUACCUUUCCUUUUCUUGAGAACUAAAAUCUAACUAAUUGUUCAUAUUGCCAGCUAAUCACAUUAUGGGGUAGAUUUUUCAUCGUCGCCUCUACAGUUGUAUUUUUAUCAACAUACUUAUUCUUCAAAUUAUGCUUAUAAUCUCUCCAUUUCUUUCCCAAUAACUUAAACACAAAUGAAAUUGAUAUUUUAAGUACAAAUCUUGACUGUAAUAAUAUAAAAAAAAUAAUCAAUAAACUAAAUUUAAAAUGAUUAAUUUUUUAUAUGUAAUUAAUUAUACUAAUACCUCAAUAAAGUUUAAAGCAUUAGCCUUUACUUCUGCUGGAACUUUACGUCAUGUUUCAUAAUGAAUAGGCAACUUCAUUCAAUUACGGGCAAACAUACCUAGAAAUCUAGCCAACAAUUGAGCCUCUUCACCAAUUGGUUGUCUAUUAGAGUUUGCAAACACUACAUUACGCUCAUUCGAAGGUAGUGCAAAUAAUUUCUUCAAAGUUGUUCAGCCUCUGGUCAUCCAUUGACCAUUGUUAUCAACUGUAAAAAUUAAAAAAUAAAUUUAUAAAAUGGCAAUACUUUUAUCAUUAUAAUCAAUUUGUAAAUAUGGGGUAUAUGAUACCUGCAUUCAAAUUUAAAGCAUAAUCAAUUAACGGGAUACUAUCUAAACUGAGACCUCUCGUAUUGCCAAAUCUAAUAUCAGUUGAAGGGUUAGAAGUGACUAAGUUAGAUCCGACAGUAUGUUCAAUCCCCUCCAAAGGAUUUAGUCCAUUGCCAAUAUCAACAGGUGUCACAGAUGAUUCUGAACUAAUAUUUCUUAUAUGUAUUCCUUUCAAUUUACUCAUUCACAUUGUAGCUUAUCUACAUCAUAAAAGUGAAUAUAUAAAAGAUAUUAGUUUAGAACAAAUAUAAAGACAUUGAGAAGUUAAGAAAUCAUAACCUACGAUACAAAAAGAACAUAUCGAUUUAAUUAAAUUAAAAGAUAAUGUAUGAUUUAUAAUACAAUAAAUAUACAAUAGCGAAUGCGACAUUAAUUACAUACAAUCAUUUAUUAUAUUAUGUCUUAAAUACUCGAAUUACAAAAUAUAGAUGAUCUAUCAUGGUUCAUAAAUGUCUUUCUUAAUAUCUUCACGAAACUACUGAGCAUAAGUACUAGAGAUAUUUUUGUCCAAGUUUUGUUCAGCAAAAGGAUAACAUUCAGUUUCAUUUUUAACAUCAUGUCUUGUAUCUAACCUCAUAUCAAAUAAGUCUCUAGGUGUGUUUCGAAGAACAACAAACUAACCCAAUUCUAUGGGAUCUUCAAAAUAAAAAACUUGUUUGAGUUGAGAUGAAAAAACAUAAGGUUUAUUAAUGAGUUGUUGUCCAGUGUGAAUUAAUCGAGAAAAAUUCUCAAGUGUAAAUCCAUAAUGAUCUUUCUUAAUAUCCUUCGUACUAUUCACAUCAGCCCAAUUAUACCAAAAUAAUAAUUUUUCACUUGCCAUAAUAAUCCAACUCAAUGAUGUCAAUAAUCAUGCCAUAAUAGUUAACAUUUUCUUUGAAAGGGUUUGUGUCCUUAGCACUAGCAUAGCUAGUAGUUGAUAAAGUAACAACUUUUGAAUUUUUUGUACUGCUAAAUCUCUCAUGAGAUUUUGUGUUAAAUUUAAAUUCAUUGAUGAUAAAACUUUUUUAUCGUUUCACAAUCCUAUUCAGACCUUGUGAAAGACACUUCACCUCUUCACUAACAAGCCUUUCACUCUAAACCUAUAAAAGUGAAAUAAAUAUAUAUGUUAUUAAUGUUAAUUAUACCAUAAGAUUUCUUAUAAAAGGAAGUAUGGCAUUACUUACAGUUGCUCCUAACCAUUCAUGAAAGUUUUUGGCAAACAAUUUAUCAAGCUCUCAAGAGUUUGAUUGUCAAUAAUGUGUAGGAGCUCUCAAAUUAUUUUUAUACUCACUAUAAAGCAACAUAAUAAAGUAUUAACAAUAAAAAAUACAAUAAAUUAUGGUUAAUGUAAUGACUAAUUUCUUUGCUAAAAAACUUAUGUACGAAAUGAUUCAACAGAGUCAUGAUGAAAAAGACCAUAUCGAUGUGCUUGUGCCUAAGAUUUAUCAUCUAACUCUACCAUUUCAGCUUUGCCUAUUGGUUAUCCAAAACUUUGAAAAAGAUAUCUGUAGGUAGAGUCAUGUUGCUACAUACCAACAUUUCUUAAUGGUCUAUUAAAUCUCGUUUCAACAUCUUUCAAAUAACGAGAACAAAAUGUCAUAAACUCUUUUGCUAAAUAUCUUUCAGCAAUAGAACCUUCUGGAUAGCAUUCGUUAUGAUAAUAAGACUUUAACCUCCCUAAAAACCUAUCACAUAAAACAUUAGUCAUAUAUCUUUUUAAUUAGAGUGGCAUGAUCAUCAAUAAGACCUUAAUCAAUCUAUUAAAUAAUAACAUCUUUCGAUAUACAUCCAUUGAUAAUAAAUUGACCCACCUACUUUUGUUUCAUAUGGAAGAUGGAUAAUCAAAUACAUCAUAAUAGUGAAGAAGUUUGAAGGAAAAAUCUUUUCUAAAUGGCAUAAAGUAAUUACAGCUCGAUCUUAAAGUUUAACAAGCUCAUCCAUAUUCAUACAUUUCUCACAUAGAGAUUUAAAUAUGUUACUUAAUUCGCUUACCACAUAAGUGACUUGUUUUGACAUUGAUGAACAUAAAGCAAUUGAAAGUAAGUCUUGCAUCAAAAUGUGAUAAUCAUGUGACUUCAAUGAAAAAAUUUUUCGCUCCUUCAGAUUCACACAUCUCGAUAUAUUUAACGUAUAGCCAUUCAAAACUUUGACAUUUUUCAAAACCUUGCAAAACAUAUCUUUUUCAGAUUUAGAAAUCCUAAAACAAGUAGCAGGAAUCGAUAUUUGUCGUUAGAAAACAAUUUUGGAUGAAGGUCAGGGUGAAUCUUCAUAUUAACUAGGUCAAGCUGACUCUUUAAGUCAUCUUUUGAUCUUUUAUUCAUAUUAAGAAUUAUCGCAAUAAAAUUUUUACAAACAUUCUUUUUUUUGUGCAUCAAAUUAAGGUUAUGAUGUAAUAAAUUAUAUUCUCAAUAAGGUAACUCAAAAAAGAUACUUCUUUUUUUUAAUAACUCAAACUCAUUGGGGUUAUUUUCUUCAUCAUCCUCUUCAUCACUUUGAACAUCAAAAUCACCAACUUCAGUAAUAGUAUCACCAACUUACAUAAUAUGAGGUCGUACACCUUCAAAGAUACUCUUCACUCUUUUUCUUGAUAGAGUUAUUUUUUUAUAAGUGAAAUUGAUAUCUUUUAACUUUGACAAGAUAUUAAACCCACUAAUGGGUAAAAGAGAUUUUCUCAACUCUUCAGUUCUAUCAAAGAGAUGUUUAUGAAAUCUAAAUCGAUGAUUAUCAUCUAACCAUCGAUGAUAUCCCAUAUAACAAAACUUCUUACCAUUAGGUAACCACUUCAAACAUGUCUAUGUAGCACAACAUAGACAACCAUAAUGACCUUUUGUACUUCAACUAGAUAAAUUGGCAUAAGAAAAAAAAUCAUUGAUAGUCCAUAAUAAAGUAGUACAUAUAUUGAAGUUAUCUUUUUUUAUGCAUCAUAGGUCUCAACUCCUUCCCAUAAUUACUUUAAGUCUUUAAUAAGAGGUUGUCAAUAGAUGUCUAUAUCAUUAUUCAAACUUUUUUUCUUGAAAAUUAUCAUAGACAAUAUAAAUGACUAUUGCUUCAUAGUAAUCCAUGGUGGUAAAUUGUAAGGAAUCAAUAUAACUGGUUAAGUACUAUAAGAAGUACUCAUCAUUUUAAACUGAUUAAAUCCAUCGGAUAGUAGUCUAAGCAUAACAUUUUAAGGAUCAUAUGCAAAGUCUGAAAACCUAGAUUGAAAUUUCAUGCCAAAGAAUAUGUAGGAUGCCUAAAUGAUCCAUCAUCUAUCCAUUUUUUAUGAUGCCACCUCAUUGAAUCUAUAAUUUUGAAAGACAUGAAGAGUCAUUGAAGUCUUGGUAUUAAUGAAAAAUAGUGUAAAACCUUAACAAACUUCUUUUUGAUACUAACCUCAUCACCAUCCUCAUUCAACCUUUCAUUGAGGUUUUUAUUCACCCAAUUAGAAAUAUCACACACAUGAAAAAAUUCUUGACUUUUUCUAUCACCCUAAUACAACAUGCAAUCAUUGGGACAACUAUGAAUUUUCUCACAUCCGAGACCUAAAUCCUUGAUCAUCUUCUUUGAUUCAUUAUAAGAUUCAGGAAUUUUUGUAAAAGAAAAUAUUUCUUUCAUAAACUCUAAUAAUAAAGUCAGAGAGUUUUCCGUCCAUCCACAUAAGCAUUUCAAGUGAAAAAAAUAAACAUAAAAAGACAACCUUGAAUGCUUUGAGCCCUCAUAAAGUUCUUUAUUCAUAUCCUCAAGCAACUUAUAAAACUUUGAUGUUUCUCUUAUAGGUUAUUGGUCAUAUAUACCUAUCCCAGGUUUAUCAAAUUCAUUCAUUUCAAUAUUAGACUGAUUAAAUCCAUCAUUUUAGGGAAAAUGAUUAUGAAAAUGUUAGUUAUGAAUGUUAAAAACAUCUCACAACAUGCUUUCAAUGUCAUCUGCUAUAAAAAGAUCAUGUUGGUGUUGAAAAGCCCUUGAAGUUGAAGGAACUUUAAUGAAAAACUUUGAUGGUACAGACUCUCCAUAAAAAUACCAAUUAAUAUAUUUCGAGAAAAUUUUAAUACAAAUUAAAUAUUCAAAAAUAACUUGACGCUUUUGUCAAUCUAUAUUAGCACACUUCACACAUGGGCAUAAUAUCAUAUUAUUUUCACUUGUAUUCUCAAAUGCAAAAUUAAGAAAAUUUUUCACUUCAUCUCUGUACUCUUAACUUAAUUUUAACUUUUGCAUCUAACUCUUAUCCAUUUAGUACUUACUACAGUAUCAAACUAAAUGUAUAUAAAUAAUUUAUAUGAAAACGAACAUGCCAAAUACUUAAGUUUACUAUGUUUUAAACAAAAGAUAAUAACAAGAUCAGUACUUACAAAAAAUGAAAACUCCUUGUUGUAAAAUAUUUUAUCAGGUAUCUAAUAUUAUGAAUGUUAAAAUCUGCUGCUAACAUAGACAAUACCCAAGAGUUUUUAUAAUUGAGGUUGAAAUAAGGUAAAACAGGUACAGAAGAAACCCAAAAAAAGAAAAAAGAAAAUGAAAGAGAAAAGGAAGUUAAUAAUGGGUUAUAAAUGGGUAUUUCAAGAAGGUGGGCUUUAAAGAAAAUUGUUUAAACUAAAAAAAAAAUCACCAAUUGCAAAAGCUGAAGGAAUAGUCGAAUUACGUAAAAAUAUUAGUAAAUAACUAAUGAAUAGUUGAAAUCGGGUUCUAAAAUAUAACGUUCGAAUAGUAAAAGCUGAAGGAAAAGGAAAGUAAAUUGUAAUUGGUCUGAAAAAAGAAAUAGUAAAAUAAUAAAUAUGAAGCUUUAAGUUGGUGAUUGGAUGCGCUAAGUUUGGAGACAAUUUUAUUGGAUCGGAUUAUUAAAGGCAUUUACGAAGAAAAAUGCAUUCAAUAAUUUUCUCUUAUACAUUUUUUAAAUAUAUUAUAGGUGCCAUCAACAAAGUCGUAAUAGAAUUGUUUGCAAUUAUUAAAGGCAUUUACGCACCAAAAAUGCCUUCAAAAAUUUCAUCUAAUUUUUAUGAUAUAUUUAUUGAAGGUGUUUUUUGCAUAAUACACCUUCAAUAAUUCCUUCUUUUUUUUCUAUGAAUAUCAGUCAAUGUGUUUUCUACUAAAAAUGCCUUUAAUAAUUUUCUUUUAAAAAUUGUUUGAGAUUAUUAAAGACAUCUUCUAUAAAAAAAUGCCUUUAAUAUUACACUUCUAAAAUUUUAAGGGGUUAUUAAAGGUGUUUAUUCCAGAAAAAUACCUUGACUAAUUUUUUUUUAUUGAAAAAAUUUAUUGAAGGCGUUUUCUAAUGAAAAACGCAUUCAAUGUUUCACUACUCAAACUUUAAGACGGUUAGUGAAGGCAUUUUUUUAGAACAAACGAGUUCAAUAAAUUUUUUUUAAAAUUUUUGAGAUUAUUAAAAGCGUUUUUCAGUGAAAAAUACAUUCAAUUUUUCAUAACACAAAUUUUAAGACGUUUAGUAAAGGUGUUUAUUCUAGAAAAAUGCCUUCACUAAUUUUUUCUAAUUUACGUACAUAAUAAUUGAAGGUAUUUUUUUAGAACAAACAUCUUCAAUAAUUUUUUCUUAAAAUUUUUUAGAUUAUUAAAGGUGCCUUCAAGUGAAAAAUGCCUUUAAUUUUUCAUAACUCAAAUUUUAAGACAGUUAGUGAAGAUGUUUCUUUUAGAAAAAUGUCUUCACUAAUUUCUCCUAAUUUACAUACAUAAUUAUUAAAUGUAUUUUUUUAAGAAAAAAUGCCUUUAAUAAUUUUUUCUUAAAAUUUUUGGGAUUAUUAAAGGCGUCUUUCAGUGAAAAACGCCUUCAAUUUUUCACAAUUCAAAUUUUAAGACGUUUAAUGAAGACGUUUAUUCUAGAAAAAUGCCUUCAUUAAUUGCUUUUAAUUUACGUACAUAAUAAUUGAAAGUAUUUUUUAAGAACAAAGGCCUUUAAUAAUUUUCUCUUAAAAUUUUUGAGAUUAUUAAAGACGUCUUUUAGUGAAAAAUGCCUUCAAUUUUUUACAACUCAAAUUUUAAGACAGUUAGUGAACGCAUUUAUUCUAGAAAAAUACCUUCACUAAUUCCUUCUAAUUUACAUACAUAAUUAUUGAAGGUAUUUUUUGAAAACAAAUGCCUUCAAUAAUUUUCUCUUAAAAUUUUUAGAAUUAUUAAAGGCAUUUUUCAGUGAAAAACGCCUUUAAUUUCUCACAACUCAAAUUUUAAGACAUUUAGUGAAGGCGUUUAUUCUAGAAAAAUGCCUUCACUAAUUCCUUCUAAUUUACAUACAUAAUUAUUGAAUAUAUUUUUUUAGAACAAACGCCUCCAAUAAUUUUUUUUUUUUUAAUUUUGAGACCAUUAAAGGCAUUUUUUAGUGAAAAACGCUUUUAAUUUUUCACAAUUCAAAUUUUAAGAUAGUUAGUAAAGGUGUUUAUUCUAGAAAAAUACCUAAUAAACACCUUCAUUAAUUCCUUCUAAUUUACGUACAUAAUUAUUGAAGGUAUUUUUUGAAAACAAACGCCUUCACUAAUUUCUUUUAAUUUUUGUACAUAAUUAUUAAAAGCAGUUUUCUACUAAAAAUGCCUUCAAUAAUUUUUGUUCAUAAUUAUCAAAGGUAUUUUUUGAGAAAAAACACCUUUAAUAAUAAAUUUUAUAUUCAUUCCCUAUCUUGGACAUCGGAAUCAAAAUUUGUUAGUAUACAGAAUAAUUAAAAGUUGUAUUAAUCAAUCAAACCAAACCCACAAAUACAUUUCUAUCACACUUUUGGUUUCUUUAUCCCUAUCGUCGCUACCAACCUUUAAUAAAUCAAUGACGCUCACCUCUCUAUUUACCGGUAUGUUUUUAUAAUUUUUGUUUACUGUAUUAUUUAUAUUAUUCGAUAGAGCUAUUUUUUUCGAUUCCUUACUAUUUACAUAUGGAUAUAUAUUUUUAUUAAUUUUAUCGUAAGCGUAGUCCUCCAAGUACCUAUCAUUGCAUGUAUGCUAUUUCUGUGUAGGCUUUUGUUAAUAAUGUGGUUUGCUGAACCUUGUUAUGUGAUAGUGUUUUGCUGAAUAGUAUUGUAUGAUAUUGGUAUGCUAAAUUGUAUACUAAAUGGUUUGCUGAAUGAUGUUUCUGAAUGGUUUGCUGAAUGGUGUUUCUGAGUGGUUUGCUGAAUGGUGUGUCUGAGUACAUUGCUGAUUGAUUUAUUGAAUGGUGUUUCUAUAUGUAGUAUGGUAUUGGUGGUAUUUAAUUACGUACAAUAUUAAAUUUAGACAGUCAUUUUAUGUAAUUCGUAUAAUUAUAAUCAAAAUUAUAGGUAUUUUGACUCUGAACAACAUCAUUUUUCUUCUAUUAAACAUGCAAAAAACACACAUGUAGGUCAAAAAAGAAAGGAAAAGGGCCCAAAUAAAUAAAUUAAAGUGAGUAACAUAAAAAUUCACGUUGAUUUUAAUCAAAGUGGGUAGCCUGUGUCUGAAAGAGCUUCCAAGAUGGCUACUCAUAUUAGAGCCAUCGUCCAUCGUAAGAUUUCAAUUAUGUACACCGCUUGGCGACGAGUUUCUAAUGAUCUAAAAGAUUAUAUUUGGCAGUUGGUAGUGGUAUGUUUAUUCAACUAUUUCAUAAAAUUUGUUAAUGAUCAUUUAAUUGAAAUUCAAUGUGUUCUCACAAAUUAUGUUAAAUAAUUUAGGAACGGUUUGACAUCCUAAUUUAUUGUAAAAAGAUUGUGUUGCAAUAUGCUGAAAAAGCAUUUAGAGAUUUUAAAAGCAGAUUGAUAACCUAAUAUAUUUUAUCACUGGCUAAUCAAGGUGAUGUGUUGGUUAUUCCACCUACGGUAUAUACAGAUAUGAUAAAUGUUGAAGAUUGGAUAAAUUUUGUUUGAUAUCAACUUUCAGAAGAUUUCUCAGUACGUAAAUCCAUUACCAAAAAUAUUGUUUAUAAGUCUUUAUGCAAUAUAGCCUUUGAUCUUCAUAUGUGAUUGACGUAAUUUCUUUCUUUUAUAGAAAAUCAAAGAAAACCAACGGAACAUUUGGGUCAAACAAUAAUAUCACCAUCGAACAGCGAGAAAAGGAUAUGAAAAUGUGAAGUAUAAGCUUGUAUGUAUUCACACACUUGUUUUAUACUCAUUAAUGAAUAUUUAUGAACAUUCAUUUCAUACAUUCUAAUUCUUUUAUUGUGUUAAUUUAAUAGGAAUCAGUAAGCUCUGGCAUCGAUGUUUCUAAAUGGGAUGUCUAGAAACAAAAACAUCUAUAGAAUGAUAGAUCCUUUGUAGAUAAAGUAAUCGAAAAAAUGACAAAAAAGAUUGUAUGUAUAACUACUUUUUUAAUAUAAUAUAUGAUUGACAUUGUGAUUGUAUGCAUGACUGUAUACUAGCUUGUAUAGAUUUAUUGUCACAACCUAUCUUAUUAUUGUCUUUCAGGAUGAUUAUGUUGUCAAAGUCUAAUCAGGUGAAUUGGUAACCCAGUAUGGUGAAGAUCCUUUGUCUUUAGCAUUAGGCGCUAAAGAAAAGCUUGGUGGGGUUAGUAUGGCUGGUAAAUUUGUCUUGCCAUCAAAGUUUUUUAGUAAUCAACAUAAAACCCUGCAAUUGAAAAAUGCACAAUAUGAAGCAAUCAUUGAGCAACAAUAGCAACAAAUUGAUGACUAGGAACAAUGCCUCAAUGAGCAACAAUAAAAACUCGCUGCUUUGGAGUUCAUGUUGGUAGCAAUGUAACAUAACAUGCUAGUAGGCCGAUCGAUAGCAUUAUCCAUGUAGGAUAAGCUGCCAUUGCAAGUAAGAAAGUGAACCCAUCUUCCGCUACCACCUAAGAAGUAUGAUUUUAUUUAUAAUGUUAAUAUUCAUUUGUUUAUUUUAUUUAUUGAUUUAGUUUUAAUACUUAUAUUUUAUUAAAUAUUGUGGCAGGAUGUUGCAACUCACAGUAUGACCCUUGUUCAGCUUACUAUAGAUGAGUUAUCCAAAUAUUCGUUAGAGUAUUUAUCCAGAGAAAACUUCAUAGCCAUUGAGUCUGAAAAAGGAUUAUUUGAUAAACUAUCAUUUUCUUUCAUUGGUGUGGAAGAGGUUAAAGAAUUUUGUGAACUGAAUGAAUUAUCAACUAUUGAUAUUAUUGUUUAUAUGAGGUUAGCUUAUAAAUACAAAUAUGAACAUUCAAUAUGUAGUAAUCUAUAUUAGGAUGUAAUAUUAACUAUCAAUGUUGAUUGUUAUUAUGCAGCUUACUAUAUAGAGAGCUCAAGGGGAGAUAGUUGACCAACAAAUUUAGAUUCAUUGACCCUAACUUCAUUAGUGAGCAGAGUGACACAGUUGCUUAUCGUGCUAAUCAUGUGAUCCAAUGCAUGAAAAGAUUGGCUUAUUAUUAUUUGCUCUCGUAUAAUGUGCAGUAAGUUAUAUUACAACCUUACUCAAAUCUGAUCUGAUGCAUAAUCUGAGUAUAUCAUCGUUAUUAUUUUACAGUCGUCAUUGGUUGCUUAUUGUGAUUGACAUCAAAUCUUUAACGCCAUACUUACUUAAUUUAGUUAAUCUAACAACGAUGCCUAAUCUCGAUAUUCAAACUUUUAUAAAGAGGUAUUACACUUUAUUAUAUUAUAUAUCUUCUAUUUUUUUAUAAGUAAUUUUAUUUAUGUAUUAAGUAAUUUUUUUCUUUUCAAUUUAGGGUAGUAUUUGCAUUCGAUAAGAAGAUAAAGAAACUAAAAUGGGUGUCAUUAUCGAUAAAUAUGAAAUUUAUUCUUUUAUGCUGAGUUUGUGUAGAUAAAGAUUUCCUAAACCCACUCAAUUUAUUUUUUAGGUACCUUGUCAACCCGAUAAUACUAAAUAUGGAUAUUAUGUCCUUCGUUUUAUGCGAAAGAUAGUAUUAGAUGAUUUUAUGACCACACCAUUCAAGAUUAGUAUAAAUUUCAUAAACUCGUUAUAUCUUCAAAAAAAUAAAAAGGUACAUUAUGUUCUCAUUUAUUAACAUUUACUUCUGAUAUAUAUUUUUUAAUAAGAGAGUAAAGAAAUCUUCACGGAAAAAGAAUUGGAUGAAGUUCGUAAAAAAUGGUGUGAGUAUGUAUUAUCAUUUAUCAAUGUUGAUAAACCUUAGGUUAGACAUUAUUGGUUGAAUGUAAAUAUAUGAGGAACAAAUUGUUAUAAUGUUUUAAACAUGCCAUGUUGAAUGGAAACUUUAAGUUUGUACAUUGAGGUAUUGGUUUAAUAUUAUUGGUAUACUUAAUAUGAAUAUACUAUGUGUACUUAAUAUAUUAUUGAGUAUGAUUAUUUCAUAAAAGUAUAUUAAUAUGGCAACGUUAUCAAUUUUAAUUCCGGAUGUGUGGUCAAUUUAUUGAAAUACAACAAUAUUCAUUAUGUAAAUUCCAAAAUGUAAUUCAUAGUAUCACAUAUAUAAAUUAAAUAUUUUUUUAGCAUAAAUAUACAACUGACUUCAAAUAUUUUCUGGGCAUAAACCUACAACUGACUUGACAUAUACAAUAUCAAAUAUAUUUUUUUGAUGGGAUUAAUGAAUGCGUUUUUAGCAAAAAAAAAUGCCUUGAAUCAUCUCUAAUAAAUGUUAUUGAAGACAUUUUUAACUAAAAUCGCUUUCAAUAAUCCCACCUAAAAAUAUAUUAUGUGAAAUAUUAAAGGCAUUUUGAAAAAAAAAAUACUUUCAAGAAUCGUACCAAAUAUUGUGCAUGGAUUAUUGAAUGCAUUUUUGAAAAAAACUGCCUUUAAUAAUUUCUAUUAAAAAUUUAUUUAUUGGAUUAUUGAAAACACUUUCACCCAAAAAUGCCUUCAAGAAUUCGUUUCAUAUUUUUUUUAUGGAUUAUUAAGAGCAUAUUUAGUAAGAAAAUGCCUUGAAUAAUCUUUAACAAAAUGUUAUUGAAGGCGUUUUUUACCAAAACCACCGUCAAUAAUCUCACCUAAAAUUUUAUUGUGUGGAAUAUUAAAGGCGUUUUGGACAAAAAAUGCCUUCAAGAAUUCGUUCCAACUUUUUUCUAUGGAUUAUUGAAGGCGUUUUUUAAAAAAUUACCUUCAAUAAUACCAACUAAAAAUUAAUUGAAUGGAUUUUUAAAGGUAUUUUUUUACCAAUAACACCUUGAAUAAUCCCCAACAAAAUAUUAUUGAAGGCAUUUUUAGAAAAAAUCACCUUCAAUAAUCCGACCAUUCAAAUUUAUCGUCUAAAAUAUUAAAGGCGUUUUGAGCCAACAAUGCCUUCAAGAAUUUAUUUCAACUUUUGUCUAUGGAUUAUUGAAGGCGUUUUUUACAAAAAUUGCCUUUAAUAAUCCUAACUAAAAAUUUAUUGAUUAGAUUAUAGAAAGCGAGUUGGGCCAAAAAUGCCUUCAAAAAUCGAUUCCAUAUAUUUUCCUAUGGAUUAUUAAAAGCGUUUCUCUACGAAAAAAUGCCUUUAAUAUUUUCUCCAAAAUUUUUUAAAGCAAAUGGUGAAGGCAUUUUUACCAAGAAAAUGCCUAGAAUAAUCAAUUACAAAUAAUCUCUACAAAAACCCAAAAAAGGCUAAAGAGAGGGAUCAAACAUAUCACCUUAUGGUUAACAUCCAUACGAUCUUAAAAUUUUGAUAUGAUAUUUAUUGAAGGUGUUUUUAACCAAAAACACCUUCAAUAAGCCUGUGAAAUUUUUUGGUGAAAUUAUUAAAGGUGUUUCUUAUAGAAAACGCCUUCAAUAAUUGUAUACAUUUUUGUUAUGAGGGGAUUAUUGAAUGUGUUGUCUGCUAAAAAUACCUUCAGUAAUUCCCUAUCAAUUUUUUUAAUGGGAUUAUUCAAAGCGUUUCUGACAAAAACGCCUUUAGUAUUCACUCAAAUUUUUAAGACAAGAUUAUUUAAGGUUUUUAGUUGAGAAACAUCGUUAAUAUAAAGUCUUGGGUGAUGUUUAUAAGUAACAACGUCACUAUUUGAAUAUUUAGUGACGUUUUGAUAAUAAACGUCUUAAGUUUUAUGAAAACAUGAAAAUUAGCGACGUUUGUAAGUAAAACGCCGCUACAAAAUUGUCACUAAUAUUUCAUUUUCUUGUAGUGAAUUAUUAUUAUACUAAACCAAUCUUUUUUCUCCACUCCAAUAUCCAAGAAUUGUCAAAGAAUUUCUAUAACAUCCAUGCAUACACUUUGAAACAAAUAUAAUAUUUAAAGUUUUUAUAAAAAUUUCAAAAACAAAGAAAAAGAAACAUUGAUUUUAAUGUUUUUAAUAUGUGGAUGAACAAAUUAUAAAAAGAAAAAAAAUGGUGCAUCUCACGAGUUAAAAACCCAUUUCUUUGCAAGCAUAAAUGUUAAAAAAAUAUAGAAAUAGAAGUAACAUUGAGAAUAUCAUUAAAGAAUAAAUUAUCUUCUAAUAUAUGUGAUAUUUUAUCUUUUUAAAUUUAAAAAUAAUCAAAUAAUAAAAUAUUAUUAUGAAAUCUCUAAAAAUAAAAAUUAUAUUUUAAAUUUUGAAAAUUAAAAUGACAUAUUUAAAUUACUAAGAAAUCUAUUUUAUAAUAUCACUACAUUUAAGAUUUUUAGAUUUAAAAGGAUAUAUAUUUAUAUUAUUAGGAAACCUAUUUUAAAAGAUAAUAUAUCACUAUAUUUGAAAAUUUUAAAUGGAAAAAGAUAUAUAUAUAUAUAUCUAUAUAUAUAUAUGUAUGUAUAGAUUAUUUAGAAAUGCAUUUUUGAAAAAAAAAUAUUUUAAAUUAGAUUUUGUUGUUAGCAACUUAAAAAUAUCCGAAUUGGUCUUCUACUUAAAUUUAAAAAUUUUAGAUAAUUAAGUAAUUUUUAAAUAUAUAUUUUUGAUAAAUAGCUUAAAAUUAGGAAAUAUCUUAUAAGUUAUUAUAAAGAGAAAUUUUAAAAAUUUUUCUAUGUGUCGAAAAAACAAAUUAUCCACUUAAAUAUCCACAUAAGUAAAUUUUAUCAAUUUUCUAUUUAUGUUAUAAUAUAAUAUUAUAUAUGAUAAUUAAGGAGUUAAUUAUGACACUUGCAACCAAUACAAAAAGAUAAUAACAAAAAUUUGAUCGUAAUAUAUUAAACAUAAAUUUAUUUUCUUUUUUAUAUCUUAAUAUAUUUAUAAUAUUUUGUAUGCAAAUUAAUAUUUUAUUAUUUUUAUAUUAAAAUAAUUAUAAAUAUGUGUAACAAAAUAUUAAUGAAAAGCAAAAUUAUUUCAAAUAAAUACAAAAAUAAUUGUAACUCUAUUCACACAUUCUAAUAUUUUAGCAUCAAUUAUUUAAUAAAUAAAUCAACUUAAUUAACACUAGGGAUGUCAAUUGAUAACGUAUGAGAUGGGUAAAGCAUUCCCUCUCCUUAUUCUUAAUUUCUUAUAUUAUAAUUAUUUUUUUACUCAUAUCUAAUGAAUAUUUUAAAUUUAUUCACAUCUUUAUUUCUAUGGGUAUUUAAUGGGUAUUACUAAUUCUUGUAUCCAUGACUUUUUAAAAAAAAUAAAAAAUAAGAUUUAUUUUUAAAAUAUUUUUAUCUUGCAUAUUUAAGUAAUUUUUUUAUAAAUAUAUAUUUUUUAAAUACAAAUAUAUUUGAUGUAAUACAUCUAAAAUAAAAUUAUAUUAUUAAAUAAAAAUUAAUUUAUUAAAUAUAGAAAAAAAUAUAUAGGAUAUGGGUAUGAAAUGAAUACUAUAUUACUUAUUAGCAUACCCAUACUCUAUAAAACAUAUAAAAUCAUCUUUAUUCUCAUUUUCAUCAUCAAAAUUUAAUAUCCAUUUUUAUCUUAAUUAAAAUAAAAAUUAAAUUCUUCAUUAAAUUUGAAUAAAAUUAACAUCCUAAUUAACAUAAAAAAUAGCGGGGAUGAAUACUAGUAUCCUUUUGAAAAAGGGUGACCUGAUGUAAAAGAUGGUGGCAACAUACUCUUGUGUAUUUGAUAUACUAAAAUCGUGGAAUUAUUUGUGCUGAAAAGUGAUCACCCAAACCGAUUAGGCCAAGUUCAAGGGCAUUUGGUGAAGUUCGAGCCUUCAUUUUUCUAUAUAUUUAUUGUAAAUAAAAAGUGCUCAAGGGCUAGCCUACAUGCUAGGCCCGCGAGAAUGACUCACUUGGACUGAAUUAUAAUUUAAGUUUGAUCUGCCCUGUUUUAAAGAUAUUAGAUUAUAUUGUAUAAAUAAUUUAUUUUGUAUAAUUUUUAUUACAAAAUAUAUUUUUAAACAUUAAUAUAAAAAAUUUCAUGUAUAAUAAUAAAUAUAAAAUAAAUGAAUGGGUCAAUUUAAAUUAAAUUAUGCUCAAACUUCUAUUUUUAAAGUAUCAAUACCAUUUCUAAUUGUGAACAAGUUAAAAUUUUUUUUCUUUAUUUUUGUAUCUAUUAAUUUUAAUAUGUUUAUAAUUAUUAUUCAUAUGUAUCCAAUUGGAUUAUUGAUUAUGGAUCCCAUAAACAUAAAUCAAAAUAACAAAAAACAUUGAAAACAAAUCAAAAUGAUAUUUGUUGUGAACCAUAUAAUUUGAUGUAGGUUAGACAUGGCAAAAAAUCUCAUCUUCCCCUCCAUUCCCCUCCAUUCCCCUCCAUUCAAUUUGAUGUGAACCAUGCAUUAAUAAUAUAAGUAGCAAUCAUAGAGGCGUGGAGGGGUCCCUCGUCCAACAGCCCAAGCCAUGUUAGUGUCACAUUCACGUAUGCGCUGACGCUAUUGAUCAGAUUACUAGCCGAGUGGUUAGAGAAAAAGACGUACAAGCAUUUCUGAAUUGGAUUCUCUCCCAACAAGACUAACCCAGACAAGUGUCACGGGAAAAGGACAAUUCAACGUAUUAAGAAGUCUUGUCAAAUAGGGCCUCCUAAAAUACCGACAAGAUAAAUUGAUGAUCAAAGGAGAAAAACUGAAACAAUUGAUUUAGCCUUUUUAAAAUAAUCAUUAUAUUUGAUAUAUUAUUAAUAUAUAAAUUUUAUAUAUUAUUAAUGAAUAAAAUAAUAUUUAUUUAUUAAUAAAAAUUUAAUAAAAAAUAAAUUUUUUUAUUUAUCUUUAAAGAUUAAUAAAAUUUUUUUUAAUUAUUAAUAAAAUGAUAUCAUUUAAUUUAUUAAUAAUAUAUAAAAUUUAUAUAUUGAUAAUAUAUCAAAUAUAAACUCUAUAUUUAUUAUGAAGAUAAUCAAACACGAUAGCUUGUUUCAUUUUCUUUUGAUGCUUGUCAUUAAAUUUUUAUUUUUGGAUAAAUUUCUUUGUUUGAAACAUUUCAAAUUAAUUAGUUAAUUUGUAGAUAAAGUUAGUAUUAAUUAUUUUAUAAAAAAGUUUUAAAACAAUCAAUUUUAAAAACUAUUAGAAAGUUAUUUUGUAAUUGUUUAAUUUUACUUUUGGUAAUUAAAAAAAAUUUUUGAUUGGUUAUAUUUAGAUUUAUUAAUCGGACUGAGUCGAGUUUAGCCCCAAGUUUAGUAUGAUAUUUUAAUAUUUUAAGUAAAUUUAAAGCCAGUUGAUUUUUUGAAUUUAGGUUUGAGUCUAAUUUAAUUUUGUUAAAUAUAAUUUAAAAUUAUAUUAUUAUUUUAUACAAAGAAUAAAUAAGUUUUAUCUUAUUAUAAGUAAUAAAGUAAAUAUGUAUUGUCCAUUAUAAAAAAAUAAAACAAAUGGGUCUUAUUUCAUUAUGAUAAAAAUAUUUUUUUUAAUUUUUGAGUUUGACAAGAUCAAACUCAAGCAUGAAAUGGUGAAACACAAGUCCAACCUCAUUUUUUUUAUUCGAUAUCAUUUGUUUAUCUAGGUCCAUUUAAUGAGCUUAAUAUUUACAUCUAAAUCUUUCAAAAAUUCAAAACAGGAUUUCAAGUUCGGAUAAACUAUCUAACCUAUGAUCAAGUCUAAUUAUAUUACAUUUGUACAUAAUGUGGGGUUACUUAUUUGUCACCCUAUCACCCUUAGUUAUUCUUAGAAAUAAUUUCAUUUUUUACCAUUAUAUUGUGCAUGAAAAAUGUAUUUGGUAUUAGAUUAUUAUAGGAUAAGAUAAAAUGAUAUAAUGAAUAGAAUUAAAUUAAAUAGUAUUAUCUUAUCUUAUAUUUGAUAUAUGUAAAAAUUAAGAUAAAAUAAUUUAUUUAUUAGUCAAAAUUAUUCUUUCUUAAAAUUUAUAUAAUUUAAAUUAUUAAUAUAAUUUUUAAGGGUAUAAUAAGACAUGUAAAUUCAAUUUCAUGAAUUAAAAUAAUUAUUUUUACUUUGAGAAUAUUAAAGUAUCUUAUACCAAAAGAAUGAUUAAUCCUUAUUGUAAUAAUAUAUCUUUCUUUAAAUAUAAAUUAAAUAUAAUAUAAAAUAAUUAUUAUCUUAUCUUAUCUAUCAUUUUAUACAUUAAAUAUGAAUAAAAAAUAUUUUAUAAUACAAAUAUAAAGAUAAUAUUUAUUAUUUUAAUAAUAAAAAAUAAUUAAAUUAGAUAAUCAAAAUGAAUUUAACUUUUUUCCUUUAUAAUUUAAUAAGCCAAUCCAACCCGUAAACUAAGUUUGGUUUAAGAUAUUUUGUAUCAUGCAAUAGCAAAAUCCAGAAUAACAAAACAAAGAGAAACUAAAUUUGUAAUGAUGUGGUGAAAAGUCGUAUGAUCUAUUACUAUCACCCCACGUGCAAAAGCCCAACGUACACGAUAGCUAUUAAUAUGUAAGCGAUGACAGCAGCCAUUUCUUGGACAAUGUCAAACUCUAUUUUUUUUUCCUUAAAUAUCUCAUACAACGGUGUUACAAGAUACCAAUCAACAUCUCCAUUCAGACAACGUGAAUAUGAUAUUGUAGCGUUAAAAUUAAUUUUAAUAAAAUUAAAAAUAAUAAUAAUGAUGAUAUUAAUUAUUAUAAUAAUAAAAUUAAAUAUGUAAUUAAAAUUAAUGAUAAAAUAUAUAUUUAAAUAAAAAUAUAGUGACAUCGAUAAAAUAAAAUAUAAUGAAAAAAUUGAUUAUUAAAAAUAUUAAAUUAAAUUUUAUAUAUAAUAAACUUUAUAAUAUAUAUUUGAAAAGUUAUUAAAUAAUUAUAAAUUAUUAAAAUUAUUUGUAUAUAUCAAAUUAAAAUUUUUACAUAAUAAAAUUUAAUGUAUAUUUGAUUUUUUUAAAGUCAAUAAAUAAUUAAAAAUUACUAACAAAAAUGAUAGCUUUAUAUAAUUUAUUUUUUAAAUAAUUUACUUCAGCACUCAAGUGAUAAAAAUAUUAAAAGCUUUUUCUAAACAUUGAUCAAAGAAAAAUAAAUAAAUAAUAAAAAAGGAAUACAAAAUAAUAUACAUAAAGAUUGGACACAAAAUAAAAUACGUGGACUAUCAUAUACUCUUUAUUAGGUUUCUUGAUUUAAGGCUUUUAAAAUUGAAUUGAAAAAUGUUAAAUUGAGUUAUAUGUAAGGGUAUUUAAGGGUUUUUGUCUUCAAUCGCAGAUUACAAAUUUUCACUGAUCUCUUUAGCUCCAAUGACGAUUGAGGGGUGUGGUGCAGUUGAAAGAUUCCAAUCGUGCAUCCAAACAUGCUUCUAUGGUGCAAAAUUAUGCUUUAUUGCACCGCAAUGGUGCGGUGAUAAAAGCGAAACCAAAUGGCCCUAAUUCUCCAAGAUGACAAUAUCUCCUACGCAAGAAGUAUCUAAGAUGACAAUAUCUCCCACGCGAGUAAACAAAAAGACAGUUGAUCUGAGUGGGAAAUUAAAAUAAGCUAUGAAAGCAACAUGAUUGUGAUGCAUAUUAAAAGUAAUCAAACUUGGAAAUUUCGGCCCAUUGAAAGAUGGGUGGGUCCAAACUUUUUAGCAAUACUCCUGUUACGCCCCUCUAUAAAAGCAAAUACAUUUUAAUUCUAUACACCACCAAAAAAAAAAAAAAUCAAAUCAAAUAAAACAAACACAGAGUUACCAGAAGCAAAUCGAACAAUGGAAGAAGCAGCAAUUCUUUACUCAUUUCUUUCUUUUAUCUUUCUUAUCAUUUGUUUAAACUUGUUCUUUCAAUCAAGAAAGCACCCCAAAAACCUCCCUCCAAGCCCACCAUCACUACCCAUAAUUGGCCACCUUCACCUCCUAAAACCCCCCAUCCAUCGUUUGUACCAUAGCCUUUCACAAAAAUAUGGUCCAAUCUUCUCCCUUCGCCUUGGUUCUCGGCUUCUUGUUGUAGUAUCAUCUUCAACCGCAGCCG
rnacentral:lncRNA from 1 species